UCCGCCGGGUCUCCUCAGCGUGGGCACUCGAGGCUCUUCGUUGUGAGGCCUCAAGCAGCCUUUGCGGCCUGAUUUCCUGCGUUUCUGCCCCUCAUGUUCCUGCGGUUAGCCUCCCUGAACUUUGUGGCAUUUCAUAAAAUGGCAUGCAGUAUAUUCCUGACCGGAGAGAAUUUGCUUCCACUGGACAUCAUUGAAAUGGAAUCUUCUAUUUCCCAUUGUAUGCACGUGAUGAUUAGACACACUUUCUGCAGGCUGGCCUUUAGGCCCAUACCUGGCAAACCCUGCUUCUCCUCCAUUCCCCCCAGACCUCCAGUGUUUACUCUAUUGAUUGGACCUUUGGUCUGCAGCUCUGUGUCCUCACAGCAGGGAUUGCAGAGUGAAAUAGCUUGAAGAUGAAAGAGUGUGAUUUUUCCAUUUAUGGAGUGGUCUGCUGUUUCUGUUGGCCAAGAGAUCCUUGAUACACAUCUG